rnacentral:rRNA from 1 species
UACGAAGGGGGCUAGCGUUGCUCGGAAUCACUGGGCGUAAAGCGCACGUAGGCGGGUUGUUAAGUCGGGGGUGAAAUCCUGGAGCUCAACUCCAGAACUGCCUUUGAUACUGGGAAUCUCGAGUCCGGGAGAGGUGAGUGGAACUGCGAGUGUAGAGGUGAAAUUCGUAGAUAUUCGCAAGAACACCAGUGGCGAAGGCGGCUCACUGGCCCGAUACUGACGCUGAGGUGCGAAAGCGUGGGGAGCAAACAGG